UACGGAGGGUGCGAACGUUACUCGGAAUCACUGGGCGUAAAGCGCGCGUAGGCGGUCUGUUAAGUGGGAUGUGAAAUCCCCGGGCUUAACCUGGGAAUUGCAUUUCAAACUGGCCGACUAGAGUACGGUAGAGGGAGGUAGAAUUUCCUGUGUAGCGGUGAAAUGCGUAGAUAUAGGAAGGAAUACCAGUGGCGAAGGCGGCCUCCUGGAUCGAUACUGACGCUGAGGCGCGAAAGCUAGGGGAGCGAACGGG
rnacentral:rRNA from 1 species